AGGAGCAUUAGAAAAUAUGUGCUUGUGUAACAAGAUUCACAGAAGUAUGGAGUAGUAGUGCUACACAGACAAUAUCAGAGAUCCAUGCAUAAUUCUACUUAAACUGACAUAAGACUCUUCCCUUGAUGUUUUUUGGUGGCUGUAGAAGGCAAAGAACUGUCUAAGACUCUGGAAGUCAGCAGUGUUGCUGAAGGAUUUGAUCUGCGGAAAUCUUAGUGUCACAGAAAUUAUCUUUUUCCACUAAGACAUUAGCAGAUAACCUACCUUUUUUUUUUUUUUUUUGUCUAAAAGGUAUAAUAGCAAUGUCUGGUAAUUCUAACAAAAACGCUUGUAGCUAAACCAUAGCUAAGAUUAUGUUAAAAGGCUUCAACUUUUUAUUGAAAUUCCUUAAAAUUAAAAAAAAAAUAGCAUGAAACUAGAGUUUUAUUUCUCUUUUAAGUACUUCUUCAUUAUGCAUUCCACCGAAUAAGCUUCACAAUGAGUUUUUUCAAUUAGAAGAUGUUUUACUUUAAAAAAAUACAUGUGUAGGCUCCUUUGAUAUUUAGCCAUUGUUGAUGUAAAGGGAAGCAUGUGCUUCUGCAUGCAAUCAACCUUCAUUUGACUGAGCACUUUUCAGAACUCCAGCCAUCCUAGGGUUAUUUUGGCACACUUUCCCUCACUUGUCUUCAGGUUGUGAAGGUCACACCACAGCUGUUAUUGCCUACAUGAUCUGUGCCAUUGAAGCCUUACAUUGUAAGUUAGGGAGUCUUGAAUUCCAUAGAUCAGAAGGUGGCCAAGUGUUAAUUUUUUUUUUCUUAAUCCAGAUGCCUAAACACAUUCAUACACUGGCUGAGAGAGGUAAAUAGUACCUCCUCAAAUGGCAAAAAAAUCCAAGAGAAUGAAUUGCAAUGGGGCAACACUCCUCCCAGCCACCAGUUUGAACUUGGUUUAGAUGGUGAAUUAUUAGGUGUUCUAUUCCUACAUGUUCCUUGGGAAUACCUUGUUUUUCUGAUCAUGAGAUGUAAAGGAGUACAAGUUUUGGGCGUCAAGGAUUCUGUCUUAGGUUCCAUGGCAAUACCUGUGGGAGGAAAGUAAUUUUCCUGGCUUCAAGGUUCAGUUUAUUUUCAUCAGAUUCCUCUUUGGCAGACAGUUUCUUCUUUUAUGGUUCUAUAGUUUACUCCUAUAUCACUUAAAAAAAAAGGGAUUUUUCAAUUCUUUAAUUCUAGUCCACAAAUGGAAAGAAGAGUUGUAGGACAGCUUGACUUAAGGAAGCUUGUCUGCUUAAAACCUUAAACUUACAUUCAACUUAUAUCAUUAGCCACUGUAAUUCUAUCUUUUUUAACACUGAAGCUUCUUUAGUUGUCACAACCUUCAUGUCUUCAUAUUUACUUAGCAUAGAAAAUGCUUGCAGUUUGUGGCAGUGCCAAGCCCUCAUCACCAUAAUGCUUGCCCUGUGGUAUGUUGGCAGCCCUCUUCUCUAACGCCAAUUCCUAUUUACCUUGUUUCUCCUGCUAUAUUUCUGGAUCAUACUUUCUUAAUUUUCUUCACAAUGACCUUUAUUUUAUGUGGUCAAAAAUUAUGUGAAAAAUGACGAAAUGGCUUUCUGGGUAAUGAUUGCAGUCAUGGUAUUUUCUUCCCAUGUUUUCAAAAAGUAGGAUGACCAGUCUCUGCAGAACUUCUUGGUGCUAUAGGAAAAAAAAUGCACAGUAUAUAGUACUUUAGGAAGUGUGAGCAUAGAGUGGUGCACAGACUAUUGGAAAGUAAUUUAGUGUUUCAGAAAUAAAACCUAAGCUUCCGCCUUUUAGGAAAUCAUCAGCCAUUUGGUGACAGGCUAAGGCCAUAAAACAAUGCUACCUUAUGUCCUGUAGGGACUGUGAGCCUCCUCUUAGUACUACUUGUAGUAGUUUUCUUAGACAAAGACAGCGGAGGAGCACACAGGGAAGAGCCUAAAUGAUUUUUUUCAUGAGCAAAAGUUAUGUGGAAAUUUUCCAUAGUUCUUCUUGCCAUGCAGAUGAACACAGCUGCAUGAUAAAGCAGAGCUGUCCCUGACAAAAAGAGUGACCAUGACCAUAGUUCAUAAAUUCUUUCUGCGUUAGCAGUGAGGCCAUGGCCAUCCUCUUCUCCUCUCUCCUGUGUAUACUCUGUGUGACGUAGAGUUAAUCAGUCUUUUUCUACUCAGUGAAUGGGAUGCUCCUGUGGUGCAUCAAACUUGCCAUGCUGAAGGCAUGCAACAAAAUUCUGCCAUGUAUUAGGAAUGCAACUUGUCUUGCCACAGAAAGAAAUGAUGCAGCCAACCUUCCCAGAAAGGUAUGGCAGCACUAAUCUAAUUCACAUGAACUACAAUAAGCAGAGAUCAAAAUAUUUGUAUCCUGAUGACUCAAAUCAGAUGUUGAGACAGUUCCCUCACAUGAAAGCAAUGAAAAUGUAUAGUUCCUCUACUAUAGUGUCAAUUGAAACAAAGAGAAAACACAGAGAGAAGCUUAUGACAAUUAUAAUAUUUAUGUCCAAUGAAAAUGGAGAAAAUGAUGCAAUAUUCAGUUUAAGUAGUACAAUGUCACGUGUAAAAUAAAAACAACUGUUUUGGAAAAAAUUAUGUUGAUUCUACUAUUGUUGAAGAGUAGACAUUGAAAGGAAGAAGAGAAAAGAAGGAAAAGUACAGAUCAAUUAUAGAAAUGGACCAGUUUCCCAAACAAAGGGGCCAUACAGAGAUUCAUAGGCUUGUUAACAUCUCCCAGUAAAUUAAUCCCUAAUUUGGCUGAAUUAAGCCUACUUCUCUUUCCACUUUUACUGGAAAGAAUAAUUGUAAUUGGGAUCUUUUGGAGCAGAAACUGGGUGGCUUGCUGAACAUCCAUCUACUCUGAGGCUUGUUCUUUCAGUUUUCAUCCUAAUAAGUUGAUUUUUCUGUCAGUAAUUCACAUUUACAUUAAAAAAUACUGAAGAUUUUA